AACACACCCACACAAGCACACACACAUUUCGUGUGUUCUAGAACGAUCAGGGGGAACUCCCCAUGAACCAAACCCUAGUUCUAACACAAUCAUCAAAUUGAGGAGUCAAAUGAAGCUCAAAUUCACAACCAAACAUGAAUUAAGGAUCACCUACUCAAGGGGAUCAUGAGGAAUCAUGUCGAGACGGAAUCAAGCACGGAUGGAUAACGGGUCAAGAAGUGGCGAGGAAACGAAUAUGAACACGGAUGCAUGAGGUACAUUAUUGUUGAUUCAUUGAAGUUUAAUCAUCGAGAUGAAAUACUCGAAUUCAGAAAGAUAACCAAGAUGUACGGAAUCACGGAUCAUCAUCAUGAGGUGUAAGCGGUUGAAGAUCGAGUCACAAGAUAGAUUGUACGUGAAUGCUUGAUCAUGUAAUUUAGUAAACAUAAGUUAUGUUUUCAUUUCAUAAAUGAGGGCAAGGAUAAAUUUAUUGUAAAAAAGUCAUUUUAAAAUGGACUUUCAAUCAUGUCAAGACGUCUGUAAAGAAAGAAAUUUUAUGGUACGUGUUUCCGCUGCGACUUUUGUCAUGUACAAUUUAGGGCGUAACAAGUUGGUAUCAGAGCCCUGGUUUGAG